rnacentral:rRNA from 1 species
GAUGAACGCUGGCGGCGUGCCUAAUACAUGCAAGUCGAGCGAACAGACGAGGAGCUUGCUCCUCUGACGUUAGCGGCGGACGGGUGAGUAACACGUGGAUAACCUACCUAUAAGACUGGGAUAACUUCUGGAAACCGGAGCUAAUACCGGAUAAUAUAUUGAACCGCAUGGUUCACUAGUGAAAGACGGUUUUGCUGUUACUUAUAGAUGGAUCCGCGCCGCAUUAGCUUGUUGGUAAGGUAACGGCUUACCAAGGCGACGAUGCGUAGCCGACCUGGGAGGGGGAUAGGCGACACUGGAACUGAGACACGGUCCAGACUCCUACGGGAGGAAGCAGUAGGGAAUCUUGCGAAAUGGGAGAAAGCAUGACGGAGCAACGCGGGGUGGGUGAUGAAGGUCUUCGGAUCGGAAAACUCUGUUAUUAGGGAAGAACAAAUGUGUAAGUAACUAUGCACGUCUUGACGGUACCUAAUCAGAAAGCCACGGCUAACUACGUG